UACGGGGGGGGCGAGCGUUGUUCGGAAUUACUGGGCGUAAAGCGUGCGUAGGUGGUUUGUUAAGUCUGAUGUGAAAGCCCUGGGCUCAACCUGGGAACGGCAUUGGAAACUGGCUUACUAGAGUGCGGUAGAGGGGUGUGGAAUUCCCGGUGUAGCAGUGAAAUGCGUAGAUAUCGGGAGGAACAUCUGUGGCGAAGGCGACACCCUGGACCAGCACUGACACUGAGGCGCGAAAGCUAGGGGAGCAAACGGG
rnacentral:rRNA from 1 species